rnacentral:rRNA from 1 species
AGAGUUUGAUCAUGGCUCAGAACGAACGCUGGCGGCAGGCCUAACACAUGCAAGUCGAACGCCGUAGCAAUACGGAGUGGCGCACGGGUGAGGAACGCGUGGGAACGUACCCUUUAGUACGGAAUAGCUCCGGGAAACUGGAAUUAAUACCGUAUACGCCCUUCGGGGGAAAGAUUUAUCGCUAAAGGAUCGGCCCGCGUAAGAUUAGCUAGUUGGUAGGGUAAUGGCCUACCAAGGCUACGAUCUUUAGCUGGUCUGAGAGGAUGAUCAGCCACACUGGAACUGAGACACGGUCCAGACUCCUACGGGAGGCAGCAGUGAGGAAUAUUGGACAAUGGGCGAAAGCCUGAUCCAGCCAUGCCGCGUGAAUGAUGAAGGCCUUAGGGUUGUAAAGUUCUUUCGGUGGUGAAGAUAAUGACGGUAACCACAGAAGAAGCCCCGGCUAACUUCGUGCCAGCCGCCGCGGUAAUAC